UUAUGCAACAGAAAAGGAAAACAUGAGUGAGACCACACAUUAGGGUUGUGCAAGCCACAUGCGGCUUCCUUAAACCAUCUUCAGCCGCACGAGGGGGUCGACUAUCGGCACUGCAGAAAGCGAAGAAAGAUGGGGAUGGAGGAGCGAAUCGUGAACGAGAACAACAUCCACCGUCGAAAUCAUCUCCGACGGCGGGCGCGGUAGAGUUCACGGCAACUCGACCCACUUUGGGUUUGUCACGGUCGCGCACAAUAAAAGCGUAAGGGAGAAGAUGGAAGCGUAUAUCGCCGCCACCGGAAAUCGCUUCCGGCGACGGCACAUGGCGGCGCACAACGGCUUUCGAGUUCCCCGGGAAAUGAAAGGUUUGGUGGUUCCAGCAGGGCAUGGUGGCUUGUUUGCAGGGCAUGGUGGCUCCGUAGCAGAGUAGUUAGGGGUCAGCUGAUUGUAUCCAAAGGAGGCAGAGGAAGAUCUUUCUUUUCUUUCUUCCUUUUUUGUUUUUAUUAAUUUUUCAUUAAUUUAAUGUAUGUAUGUAUUAUUAUUAUUAUUAUUUUAUAUGUAUUGAUAUAAUUUUGAUUUAUGCAAGAAGGCAAAAUUUGGAAUUAACA